GAUGUUUGGGUGCCAUGUAGACGCAGCCUGUGGGCCGUCUGAGCGCUGUGGCUGCAAACUGAGCUUGCCUUUCUCGGAGCGCGGAGGCCGGGAGGGAGGGCCCUGGAGCUGAGCAGGGCCGGGGCCGGACGGCGGACACUGCCUGCGGAUGGUGGGAGGGAGGCAGGAAGGCGAGACCGGGCGCCGAAGGCGGAUCACAGCCGCGGCAACGACGCGAACAAGAUUCCCCAUAAACAGCGGAUCUGUUUAUAGAGUCACCAGCGAAGGCACACACUGGACACAUGGAAGGUUCUCUGGGAUGCCAUGCCUGUGUUGCCCUCACAGGCCGUAAGAAGCCGACCCAUGCAACAGAAUGAAGCAUGUCUUGUCUAUAAAAGCACACAUCCCACUCAGCCUGGGCCACAGCAGUACCCGAAAGGCAAGAAUGAUCACAAUGACCCAGCCCUCAGGACCGGGAGGAGAACGUGGUGUGAAGGCAUCUUGAAAACAUGGACCUCCUUUCCAGACGCCAGUCACCAAAGGCCUUGUGAACUCUCCUUCUCAUGCGGCCUAGAUUUGGGGCCACUGGAUAGAUUUGCAGACAGGGGAGCUGAAGACCAACAGGAAGGGCUCUCUCAUGCUUAAGAGGCUCCAAAGUCUGACACACUGUCUGGGUUCACACUCCAGGGCUGCUAUGUUUUGUUGUUGUAACAAGCAAGUUGCUCACUUUCUCCAUACUUCAAUUUCCUCAUCCAUAGAAUGGGGGCAUUCUGUCUCAAAUGGCUGUUGUGCAUAAUAAAUGAGCUAAUUCUUACAAAUUAGCUUACAAAGCA